AAGGUUAUCUUUCGAAAGAUUGCCUGGUUACCCCACUGUGCGCUUCGGGACACAACGCCGGUGGGUGUCCGACGGUCAGAGAUGCCAAUCCCAACAGCCAGACCUUGGUGAUUUACCGUGGAGGAGCCAUUAGCACACAGCGACCGUCGGACAACAAGAACAUCACAUGGGAAGACUAUCCACCAAUAGCACAUCGUAGUUCGCCGUUUUUUCCUGCGACUGCAAAUAGGAAUGUGUGUCUGUAAUGUCUGAAAUUGACUGAGAAUUAAACAAGAAAGGCUGUUAUGGA